AAAAAAAAAAAAAAAAAAAAAAAAAGAUCAGGAGAAUGUUUUAAUAUUCUAUGGAACAGUCGAACGUUAAUGUAAUAUACACAUUUGACUUGUCAAGUGGUUAGGAAAUUUGAUUCACAGAAGUUAGAAAUCUCAAAUUCCUAAACGGUAAUCACUCGCAAACUACCAAAAUCAAAUUUUAAUUUUACAACAGCUUGGAAGCAGAAUUUGAAAUAAUAUACCAGACAAUGAAUC
rnacentral:misc_RNA from 1 species